rnacentral:ncRNA from 1 species
CAAAAGGCUGUGAAGGGAAAAGUACGGUUGCCCGGCAAGCACAGAGAGGGGAUGGCGGUGGAAAUCCCCGUGAAAGGCAAUUCGGAAGGUCCUCCCGGAGCUGCGGAGCUGAAAGCCGGCAAGGCGCAUAGGCUCCGCCGGGUUCCCGCCGUUACGGGGGAGCGCCAUCAUUUUGGUGGCUGCAGAGAGCAUGCGGAUUUUCCGCAUGAAAUUAGGUGGUACCGCGGAGUUUGGCUUCGUCCUAUGG